UCGGGAAUUUUGCUCAAUGGGGGAAACCCUGAAGCAGCAACGCCGCGUGAGGGAUGAAGGCCUUCGGGUUGUAAACCUCUUUUCUCAGGGACGAUGAUGACGGUACCUGAGGAAUAAGCCACGGCUAACUACGUGCCAGCAGCCGCGGUAAUACGUAGGUGGCAAGCGUUGUCCGGAUUUACUGGGCGUAAAGAGCGCGCAGGCGGUCGAGUAAGUCGAAUGUGAAAGCCCCCGGCUCAACUGGGGAUCGACAUUCGAUACUGUUCGACUCGAAGAUGGGAGAGGGAAGCGGAAUUUCAGGUGUAGUGGUGAAAUGCGUAGAUAUCUGAAGGAACACCAGUGGCGAAGGCGGCUUUUCUGGCCCACUCUUGACGCUGAGGCGCGAAAGCUAGGGGAGCGAACGGGAUUAGAUACCCCGGUAGUCCUAGCCGUAAACGAUGAACACUAGAUGUUGGUGGUAUCAACCCCGCCAGUGUCGUAGCUAACGCAUUAAG
rnacentral:rRNA from 1 species